AUGAUGGUACUCAUGGGGAGCUCCUGGGUGGUGAUGUGCCCUGUGAUCUCUUUAGCAGCAUCUUCGCCAUUUGUAUCUCCAUUAGAGACAGACAUUGUUUCCUUAUCUCCCAUGAACAUAAUCCCAUUUGUAUCUCCAUUAGAGACAGACAUUGUUUCCUUAUCUCCCAUGAACAUAAUCCCAGAAGCAUUGAAGGGGGGAAAUUCAGAGCGUGUAGACAUUGUUUCGGGUUCAACGUCAAUCCACUGUCCAGUCUCAUGUUUUUGCCUCCACAAAUCAAUGAACUGUGCCGUACUUACAUCAAGCGUGAAGCACCAAAACGCUCUGCGAACGAGAUCAAAUAUAUCAGGUUGUCUAUAUCAAACCCAGCAGCUACAGCACGUGCAAAGGCCAUAG
rnacentral:rRNA from 1 species